rnacentral:ncRNA from 1 species
AGUGUCGCAAUAGAAAUUCAACCUAGUACGAGAGGAACCGUUGAUUCGCAAAAUCGGUCAUCGCGUUUGGUUGAAAACCAAGUGGCGUGAAGCUGCCAUGCGUUGGAUUAUGACUGAACGUCUUUAAGUCAGAAUCUAGGCUAGAAGUGAUGAGUGUGCUCGUCGCUCGUUUGCCGACCAGCAGUAGGGGGCCUCAGACCCCUAGAGGCACGUGUCGUUGGUGACCCCCGCGGGGUGGACGAGCCUCGCGGGACACCUUGAAGCUCUAUUCCCCACUGAGCGGCGGGUAGAAUCCUUUGCACACAAUUAAAUACGCGACAAGGUAUUGUAAGUGGCAAAUUGACCUUGCUACCACGAUCCAAUGAGAUUAAGUCAUUGUCGCUUCGAUUC